rnacentral:rRNA from 1 species
CCCUUAGAUGUCCUGGGCUGCACGCGCGCUACACUGAUGUAUCCAGUAAGCACCUAACCUCUUCCGAAAGGAACGGGUAACCUUUGCAAAGCACAUCGUGAUGGGGAUAGAUUAUUGCAAUUAUUAGUCUUGAACGAGGAAUUCCUAGUAAGCACAAGUCAUCAGCUUGUGUUGAUUACGUCCCUGCCCUUUGUACACACCGCCCGUCGCUCCUACCGAUUGAAUGUUCCGGUGAGCUCUUCGGACUGCGCGGUCUGCAGUUUCUGCGUUCCGUGCGGAAAGUUGCGCAAACCUUAACAUUUAGAGGAAGGAGAAGUCGUAACA